rnacentral:rRNA from 1 species
CCUACGGGUGGCAGCAGUGAGGAAUAUUGGUCAAUGGACGAGAGCCUGAACCAGCCACGUAGCGUGAAGGAUGACUGCCUUAUGGUUUGUAAAUUUUUUUUAUAUGGGAAUAAAACAGGGUAUGCAUACCCUCUUCUAUGUACCAUAUGAUUCAGGCUCGGCUAACCCCGUGCCAGCAGCCGAGGUAAUACGGAGGAUCCGAGCGUUAUCCGGAUUUAUUGGGUUUAACGUGAGCGUAGGUGGGUUGUUAAGUCAGUUGUGAAAGUUUGCGGCUCAACCGUAAAAUUGCAGGUGAAACUGGCAGUGUUGAGUAUAGUAGAGGUAGGCGGAAUUCGUGGUGUAGCGGUGAAAUGCGUAGAGAGCACGAGGAACACCGAUUGCGAAGGCGGCUUACUAAACUAUGACUGACAUUGAUGCGCGAAAGUGUGGGGAGCAAACAGGAUUAGAUACCCUAGUAGUC